GGGCUCACACAAGCGGUGGAGGAUGUGGCUUAAUUCGAGGCUACGCGAAGAACCUUAUCCUGGUCUUGACAUGUUUGAGAAUCCUCCCGAAAGGGAGGGUGCCCUCGGGGAGCUCUUACACAGGUGCUGCAUGGCUGUCGUCAGCUCGUGUCGUGAGAUGUCGGGUUAAGUCCCUUAACGAGCGAAACCCUUGUCCCUAGUUGCCAGCGAGUUAUGUCGGGGACUCUAGGAGACUGCCGGUGUUAAAACCGGAGGAAGGUGGGAUGACGUCAAGUCUCAUGGCCUUUAUGACCAGGGGCUGCACACGUCCCUACAAUGGCGCGUACAAAGGGAAGCGAACUCGCGAGAGCAAGCA
rnacentral:rRNA from 1 species